rnacentral:rRNA from 1 species
CUCCAGACUCCUACGGGAGGCAGCAGUGAGGAAUAUUGGUCAAUGGGCUUACGCCUGAACCAGCCAAGUCGCGUGAGGGAAGACGGCCCUACGGGUUGUAAACCUCUUUUGUCGGGGAGCAAAGCGAACCACGUGUGGUUCAUUGAGAGUACCCGAAGAAAAAGCAUCGGCUAACUCCGUGCCAGCAGCCGCGGUAAUACGGAGGAUGCGAGCGUUAUCCGGAUUUAUUGGGUUUAAAGGGUGCGUAGGCGGGAUGCCAAGUCAGCGGUCAAAUACGGGGGCUCAACCUGCGUCCGCCGUUGAAACUGGCGUUCUUGAGUGGGCGAGAAGUACGCGGAAUGCGUGGUGUAGCGGUGAAAUGCAUAGAUAUCACGCAGAACUCCGAUUGCGAAGGCAGCAUACCGGCGUCCAACUGACGCUGAGGCACGAAGGCGUGGGUAUCGAACAGGAUUAGAUACCCUAGUA